UUGAUUACUUGACCUGCCAGGGAAAGAUGAUGAUGAUGACAAAGAGUGUGAUAAGUUCAUGCAAGAAAUGAUUUCGAUGAUUGAACGUGAGAAAUCUCAGGAAGAGAGGAGUUUGGAGGAUCUUCGAAGGUUGUUGGUGGAGAUGAUUGAUGGAGAUGAAAGGUUGAAGUUCCCCUUUCAGCCCACUCAAUCCCAUCAACCAGCGGCUAAAAGAAGACGAACCAAGACGACUACCAGUCUAUAGAAACUCGAACAAGAGCCGCGUGGUGAGAUGUUCGUUGCAUGGCGUCCAAGGACGGAUUUUUUCCUCAAAAAGGCACAACCCCACCAAUGGUCUAAUGUAGCAGUGAAUCUUGAUUUUGGGUCCUAGCAUUCAAGAAGUUUGUGUAUUUUUCAUGUUAUGUUCUAUGUACAUUAGUUAAGGAAUGAGACGUUUGUUGUUGUCUUAUGAUGUUUUCUGCUAGAUUGUUGAUUCAGAUGUAAUAAUAUAGAUUGAUUGGUCUUUCAAAGGGUUUUGAUAUGAUCAAAACGUAAAGAAACAA